rnacentral:lncRNA from 1 species
GGGGCAAGGCCGGCUAGCCAGUCAUCCCAGGGCUGAGUUCUUCCCAGGCCCCCAGGUCGCACAACAAACCAACUGUUCGGACAUCUCGAACAAAUAUCAAAAACAAACGAUAAUUCAAAACAAUGCAUCGGACUUUACUCUACAUCUAACGGACAAACAUCUCUCCAACACAGACGUGGACAAGUCUGAGGUGCCGAUGGUCUAGCUCCUACGUACUCUACCUGAGAUGCGACUCAGAAUACCUCAGAUCUCCUUCCCAAGUGUGGCGGACUUUCUCCAUCUCGCCGUUGUGGUCCCCUUUCCCCCCCAUACUAAACACACUAGCACUUCAUUUUAAACGUUAUAAUAUUUAAACCAAAAACUUAACACAUACUUAACUAAAAAUCCCUAUACUAAUGUCUCGUGGCGCGUCCGCCUAUUCCCGACUCUUCAACUUAAAUUAAUGGGUGGGAAUAAUCACAAAAAUAAUAAAUAUAAAUAAUAAAAUAAAUAUAAAUACAAAUACUACAUUUAUAUUACAUUAAUAUGGUCGGUAAAUAUAUGUGGGGUGGCUAAUUAAUUAAAUAUUAAUUAAUAUAGAUAGAUAUUAUUUUGGUGUGUCUUUAUAUAUGCAUGUAGAUAGGUAUGCGUUUAUGUAGGCAUGGAUUAAUUAUUUAAUUGUCGGUGGCGCUGUGGCGAGUCGCGCCCGGGCAGGGGUGUGACCAGGAUUCCGCGGGCCGGGGAAUCGUAAUUUUGGCCCAUCUACGGGAAGACAGCCGAUACAAUUUACGCCUUUUUAUUUCGAUUCGGGUAAAAGGGUCCUCUACGUUGGCCGGUCUGUUUGUUUUCCUAAACGGUCACACACACAAAACGCCCUAACACUGCCGAUGUUUAUUUUCCCACUCCGGCAUGUUCAGCGUAGCUACUCUACGCAGUCCCCCUUGCUGCAGCUGAUCUCAUCUCUUCUAUUGCCCUUGAACCAAAUUCAAGGGCAUAGCAUGGCAUUCUUGAGGGUGUGGGUGAGCUGGCUAGUGGAUCCCGCAAUAUUCCCCUCUCUUACAUUCUCCCGCUCUCUCACCGGCACCGUUGAUCGCCUUGCCCCUUCGCCUAUCGACCUAUCAACCUCCAAAAAAAUACUACCAAAUCUAGUAUUUUGCAUAUCGCUCUCCUUCGAAUGCAACACGACGGAAGAAUUAUUCGCAAACACUCGAAGGACAUUGAAACCUAACGCUUGCCCUAAGGUCUUGCAGCGCCCAACGUAGGCUCACACCCACUCGGUUUGUACAUGAGUGCCCUAUUCUUCUUCCCUUCUCCUUCUAAAGCUUUCCCACUACAAUUUCAGGUCUUUGGCGUGAAAAAUUCCCACCGGUUUCCCCGCCAGGUCUUCAAGUUCGUAGGCAUUAUUUCCAACCGGACGUACGACUCGGCACUUCAGGAACUUCCGGGCGAAUUUGGCGUUGUAGCUCUUCCCAAAGUCGCUGAGGGUGAAGUUGCGCCUGUAUACUUCUUGCCCAGGUUUGGCGAAAAAUAUUCGGGCCCGUUUGUUGUAGCGCUGGCUGCUGCGCUCGUACUCUUGGAGAAGGUUGGCCUUGAUACGUUCCCGGAUGAUGUGGCACUUAUCCGCGGGGUUCAAUGCGUGCACCUCAUGCUCCGUCAGCGACU